GCCAUGGCUCAGUGGUAGAGUAUCCGCUUUGCACACAGAAGGUCCAGGUUCAUCCCCAGCAUCUCUGGUUGAACA
rnacentral:tRNA from 1 species